UGAGGAAUAUUGGUCAAUGGGCGGAAGCCUGAACCAGCCAAGUCGCGUGGAGGAAGACGGCCCUACGGGUUGUAAACUCCUUUUACCUGGGAAUAACGGGCGCUACGCGUAGCGCUGUGCAAGUACCGGGAGAAUAAGCAUCGGCUAAUUCCGUGCCAGCAGCCGCGGUAAUACGGAAGAUGCGAGCGUUAUCCGGAUUUAUUGGGUUUAAAGGGUGCGUAGGCGGAAGAAUAAGUCAGCGGUGAAAUGCUUCAGCUCAACUGGAGAAUUGCCGAUGAAACUGUUUUUCUAGAGUAUAAAAGAGGUAUGCGGAAUGCGUGGUGUAGCGGUGAAAUGCAUAGAUAUCACGCAGAACCCCGAUUGCGAAGGCAGCAUACUGGGCUAUAACUGACGCUGAAGCACGAAAGCGUGGGUAUCGAACAGGAUUAGAUACCCUGGUAGUCCACGCCGUAAACGAUGAAUACUAACUGUUUGCGAUAUAAUGUAAGCGGUACAGCGAAAGCGUUAAGUAUUCCACCUGGGGAGUACGCCGGCAACGGUGAAACUCAAAGGAAUUGACGGGGGCCCGCACAAGCGGAGGAACAUGUGGUUUAAUUCGAUGAUACGCGAGGAACCUUACCCGGGCUCAAACGACAGGGGAAUAAUCCCGAAAAGGAUUAGCCAGCAAUGGUCGCUGUCGAGGUGCUGCAUGGUUGUCGUCAGCUCGUGCCGUGAGGUGUCGGCUUAAGUGCCAUAACGAGCGCAACCCUUACCGGUAGUUACUAACAGGUCAAGCUGAGGACUCUACCGGGACUGCCAGCGCAAGCUGUGAGGAAGGUGGGGAUGACGUCAAAUCAGCACGGCCCUUACGUCCGGGGCGACACACGUGUUACAAUGGCAGGUACAGAGAGUCGCUUCGUAGCAAUACGUAGCCAAUCCCAAAAACCUGUCUCAGUUCGGAUCGGAGUCUGCAACUCGACUCCGUGAAGCUGGAUUCGCUAGUAAUCGCGCAUCAGCCAUGGCGCGGUGAAUACGUUCCC
rnacentral:rRNA from 1 species